AUAAAAAUAAAAGAAAAUAAAAGAAAAAACUGGAAAAACAGAGUAGAGCAGGCAGCUCUGUAUGUGUAUGUGCAGGUAAGGUCAUCAGGUGGGAGGAGGCCAGGAGAUGAGCCAGUUGGAAGCCCUGAGGUGGCCUUGACUUCCCUGAUGGGAGGAGAAAGAGCUGCUAGGAGAGGCAGGAUCCAGGCAGGGCUGUGGCACAGGCUUCUGGAGGGACAGCAGCUGUGGCCAGAGGUGGAUCUCUUAUUCUCAGGGGUAUCAGGGACCCAGGCUUCUUCCACUUAGAACACAAGAUAGCAGGGGCCUUCGUGGCCAGUAGGAUGGAAGCUGACGCACAGGACACUCCUUCCGGGAAGUCCUAUCGAUUUCACCUAACUCCAAUGACCUCUCCCUUCCAAGUCCCUCUGCACAUAGGGGCUCUUUCUGUUUGGACUGAGUGGUGGCUUUGGAAAGGCUCUUGUGUGAUUUUCACUGGUGUGGACCCUCCCUAGACACUCACUUUGUGCAACACACCGUGCUGGCUCAUUAUCACUGAGUCAUGGAGCAGGUGCCGAGACUCAGAGAGCUCUAUGGCUGUUGAAGGUCAGGGUCAAGGUGGGACUUCAGGGAGCUCUGUGGCUGCCCAAGGUCAGGGUCAAGGUGGGACUUCAGAGAGCUCUGUGGCUGCCCAAGGUCAGGGUCAAGGUGGGACUUCAGAGCGCUCUGUGGCUGCCCAAGGUCAGGGUCAAGGUGGGACUUCAGUGAGCUCUGUGGCUGCCCAAGGUCAGGGUCAGGGUGGGACUUCAGCCUCACCAGACUUCAGCCUGCUGAUUCUCCUAGAUGCAAGCUCCUUGAGGGACAAGGUGGUGAAUUCUACUCUUGCUUAGAGCCAUCAUUUCUCAUGCAUUGUGCUAGGAGUUGUAGGUACACAGAUGAGCAAGGCCUGGUUCUGCCCUCUAGGAGCUGACCAGGUAGUAGAAGCUGGGGUGCAGCUCUGGGCCCAGGGAACAACCACUUGAGGCAGCCAGGGAAGGUUUCUUGGAGGAGUGACACAGGAGAUGGCUUGGGCUUUAAUCUCUCACUUUGCUAAACCUCUGUUUCCUAGUAAGUAAUCUGGAUGUGACUGUGAAGCUACUGCAAACAUUGUGUAAAGUAGUUAUUCAAGCAAACCAGUUGGAACUUUCUGCAAAUAGAAGACGCCGAGGCUUGGUAUUGACAGUCCUCUGUCAGGAGUGGAUCCCAGUCUCGGCCCACCCUCCACUGCACACCGUCCCUGGAAAGCCACCCAGAGCCACCCUGUCUGCUGCCUGCAGAGCUGGCCUUUCAGUGGCUUUGAUUCGCCUGGAGACUGUGCAUUCCCAGCCAGAUUUGCCUUUCCCUCUGGACGCUCCCCCCACCACACACACACCUCACAGCACCAGCCUGGCAGCUUAGGAAGGGAUGUGAAACCAGCAGGCGGGAGUCUGGAGUCCUGGCUCCAGUAGUCGCCAGCCACUUCUUCUUCCCUGGUCCCUCAUCCUCCAUCGUCCAGGCCCUCUUCUCUUUGCAGAAAGGCUCCUUGGGGUUCAGAGAAUGUAGGAAACUUCUUGGAGCUCACACAGCUGAGUAACAACCAGGCCCUGCUGCCUCAGCACACUGUGUAUUCUGUUGUUCCCUGGGUGCAUAAGGCGGGAGGGUGAGGCCCUGGACCUCAGCACCCCAUCCCUCACCCCAUCACCUCUUUCUUCUAUCUCUGAGGUAGUGACUGUGUCUCUGGUAAUGGAUAUUUUGCUUCUGAACAUCCCCCUCCAUUUAUUGAGAGAUAAUUCACAUACCAUAAAAUUCUCCACCUUAAAGUGUAAAUUUAAUAGUCUUUAUACAUUCAGAAUUUUGUGCAACCAUCACCACUGUCUAGUUCCAAAACACUUUCAUCACCAUCACCCCAAAAAGAAACCCUGAAUCUAAUAGUGAUUGCUUCCCACUUGCCCCUACCACAGUCCCUGGCAACCGCUAAUCUGGGUUCUGUCUCUGGAUUUAUCUAUUCUAGAUAUUUCACGUAAAUGAAAUCAUACAAUACAUGGCCUUUUGUAUCUGGUUAAUUUCACACAGCGUAGUGUUUUCAAGGUUCAUCCAUGUUGCAGCCUGCCUCAGUGCUUCAUUCCCUUUUGCGGCUGAACAAUAUUCCAUUGGGAGGAUGUCCCACAAUUUGUUAAUCUAUCCAUCCACUGAUGCUCCAUUCAUUUUAACUUCAGUUACAGCCUCCUGGUGUCUCCUUGAGCUCUCUGGGGAGUGUUUUUAUUUUUAAUUUCUCUAAUGGAAACUUUGGUCAGCGUUCUCCACCUGUAGACUGGGUAAUUUGACAUUUUUCUAAGUGGCUUCUGGAAACACAGAAGCAGUAAUUCUGAAAUGGAAAAGAGAACAUUCUCUCCCAUAGGCCCCCCUGUCUGAUGUAACUGCUCUGCUGGCAUGCCCCAGUGAGGGUGGCACCAUCACAGGUGGGAGAGAGUGUGUCUAUUUCAAAUGUGUUGGGGCAGGAGCCGGGCACAGUGGCUCAUACCUGUAAUCCUGCACUUUGGGAGGGUGAGGUGGGUGGAUCAUAAGGUCAG